UACGAAGGGGGUUAGCGUUGUUCGGAUUUACUGGGCGUAAAGCGCACGUAGGCGGAUCGUUAAGUCGGGGGUGAAAUCCUGGAGCUCAACUCCAGAACUGCCUUCGAUACUGGCGAUCUUGAGUCCGGAAGAGGUGAGUGGAACUCCUAGUGUAGAGGUGGAAUUCGUAGAUAUUAGGAAGAACACCAGUGGCGAAGGCGGCUCACUGGUCCGGUACUGACGCUGAGGUGCGAAAGCGUGGGGAGCAAACAGG
rnacentral:rRNA from 1 species